rnacentral:rRNA from 1 species
UAUAGCCCGAGUUGAGAGACUGAUCGGCCACAUUGGGACUGAGACACGGCCCAAACUCCUACGGGAGGCAGCAGUAGGGAAUCUUCCACAAUGGACGCAAGUCUGAUGGAGCAACGCCGCGUGAGUGAAGAAGGGCUUCGGCUCGUAAAGCUCUGUUGUUGGUGAAGAAGGACAGGGGGUAGUAACUGACCUUUGUUUGACGGUAAUCAAUUAGAAAGUCACGGCUAACUACGUGCCAGCAGCCGCGGUAAAU